rnacentral:rRNA from 1 species
AACGAACGCUGGCGGCAUGCCUAACACAUGCAAGUCGAACGAGACCUUCGGGUCUAGUGGCGCACGGGUGCGUAACGCGUGGGAACCUGCCCUUAGGUUCGGUAUAACUCCCCGAAAGGGGUGCUAAUACCGGAUAAUGUCUUCGGACCAAAGAUUUAUCGCCUUUGGAUGGGCCCGCGUUGGAUUAGCUAGUUGGUAGGGUAAAAGCCUACCAAGGCGACGAUCCAUAGCUGGUCUGAGAGGAUGAUCAGCCACACUGGGACUGAGACACGGCCCAGACUCCUACGGGAGGCAGCAGUGGGGAAUAUUGGACAAUGGGCGAAAGCCUGAUCCAGCAAUGCCGCGUGAGUGAUGAAGGCCUUAGGGUUGUAAAGCUCUUUUACCCGGGAUGAUAAUGACAGUACCGGGAGAAUAAGCGCCGGCUAACUCCGUG